rnacentral:rRNA from 1 species
CGUAGGGUGCGAGCGGUUAAUCGGAAUUACUGGGCGUAAAGCGUGCGCAGGCGGUUUAGUAAGACAGGCGUGAAAUCCCCGGGCUCAACCUGGGAACUGCGCUUGUGACUGCUAAGCUAGAGUACGGCAGAGGGGGGUGGAAUUCCACGUGUAGCAGUGAAAUGCGUAGAGAUGUGGAGGAACACCAAUGGCGAAGGCAGCCCCCUGGGUCGAUACUGACGCUCAUGCACGAAAGCGUGGGUAGCAAACAGGAUUAGAUACCCUGGUAGUCCACGCCCUAAAACGAUGUCAACUAGGUGUUGGGAGGGUAAAACCUUUUAGUACCGGAGCUAACGCGUGAAGUUGACCGCCUGGGGAGUACGGCCGCAAGGUUA